GAUAAGAACGCAGCGAAAUGCGAUAAGUAGUGUGAAUUGCAGAAUUCAGUGAAUCAUCGAAUCUUUGAACGCACAUUGCGCCCUUUGGUAUUCCUUAGGGCAUGCCUGUUCGAGCGUCAUUUAAACCUUCAAGCUCAGCUUGGUGUUGGGUGACUGUCCGCCGCCUCCGGGCGGUCGGACUCGCCUCAAAUUGAUUGGCGGCCGGUACUUUGGCUUCGAGCGCAGCAGAAACGCGAACUCGAGGCCGUCGUCCUGGCUCCCAGAAGCUAUCUUCACAAUUUUGACCUCGGAUCAGGUAGGGAUACCCGCUGAACUUAAGCAUAUCAAUAAGCGGAGGA
rnacentral:misc_RNA from 1 species